UACGUAGGGGGCUAGCGUUGUCCGGAAUCAUUGGGCGUAAAGAGCGUGUAGGCGGCCCGGUAAGUCCGCUGUGAAAGUCAAAGGCUCAACCUUUGAAUGUCAGCGGAUACUGCCGGGCUAGAGUCCGGAAGAGGCGAGUGGAACUCCUGGUGUAGCGGUGCAAUGCGCAGAUAUCAGGAAGAACACCAACGGCGAAGGCAGCUCGCUGGGACGGUACUGACGCUGAGACGCGAAAGCGUGGGGAGCGAACGGG
rnacentral:rRNA from 1 species